AAAAGCAACACAGGAAGAGAGAGGCACAAUGAAAGAUUCAUGAUUGGACAAGUGACCUGUUACAUAGGGGCAAACUGCAGACCCAGUAUCUAAUAAUAGCCACCUGCCCAUUCCUUGAACUAGUGUUAACUAGUAAGCUGGAUUGUUUUUUCAAUGCCCCCAAAAGCAGAAAAGAAAUCAUUGCUAGAGCAUUGCAAUGCAUGUUAGAGCACUGGUUUAAUGCAAAGACUACAUUUUUGAAAACUUCUAAGUAUCUGGAUUUCUGUAACUAAUUUCUACCACCAAAUAGGAAGUUAGAGAUAGUAAUGGCUUGUAUAUGUUUGGGCAGAGGAGUGGCACUAUUAGGAGGUGUGACCGUGUUGGAGUAGGUGUGUCAUUGUGGGCAUGGGCUUUAAUACCUUACCCCUAGCUGCCUGGAAGGGAGUAUUCUGCUAGCAGCCUUCAGAUGAAAAUGUGGAACUCUUAUCUCCUCCUGCACCAUGCCUGCCUAGAUGCUGCCAUGUUCCUGCCUUGAUGACAAUGGACUGAACCUCUGAAUCUCACCAGGAGCUGAGAGACUCCACUUCUGCUCCAUGCUAGCCCACCCCAAGCCGAGAGCUGCUGGCAGAGGACUACGCUGUUGCUGAUCACAGUGGAGUAAAGAGCACAAAUAAAGGCUUAUGGAAGGACUGGGUCCUGAGUCACCUCAGGGCAGUUCCAGGUCACAUGUACCUCUAGACUAUGUGACAUUUAGAUGUCCCAGGUCACCCCAAGACAGAUUAUACUCUAGUCCUCUUUUGGCUUCAUGACCUGUACUUGGAAGCUCUUAUGAGACCUUCUUAACCUUCAAGAGAAAAUAGAUGAUGAAUGUUCAAUGGUGUGCAGAAUGGGCAUGCUUUCCUACUCAGCCACACCAACAAGAAGCCAUUGUGUCUUGGGUAAUGAACCAAAACUCUAGCUCUAGGAGCAAGUCAUUCUCUCACUGUCUCUCCUUUCCCAUCUCGUUCUUUCUUCCCUCUUCCCCAUGGCCCCUUUCCUUUUCUUUUUCUUUUUCUCAUUCUUUCUCUCAGAUUCUCUUUUUAUUCCUUUGGCAGGGGUCUCACCAUGUAGGGCUGCCUGCCUGACCUGGAACUUAACUAUUUAGAUAAGCCUGGCCACGAACACAGAGCAAUCUGCCUGCCUCUGCCUUCUCAAUAGUGGGAUUACAGACAUGGCUAUCUCAUUCUGCUUGCUGUAUCAGGCAUCCCAAGGAAGUGUCUCCUGUCCCAAUCCUCUGUUUCCAGCAUCACAAUGUGUGAUUUCAGCUGAUUCACUGGAAUCAAGAAGUUGGCAAAUAACCAUAAUAUCUGAGGACCAGAGACUGUUACAUAAUCAUCCUUUGGUGGAGACAAUGAGGUCAUAUGUUUGCCCAUCUAAUUGCUGAUCAGGGACACGUUUGAUUGCAAAUAAUUUGCUCGCUGGCCCACAACUUAAUUACUAAGUGUCUGAAUCAACAAAGCUUUUAGAUGUAGGUCUUGCCUAAUGGUGCAUUUGUUAGAGAUCAUUGCCUUCAUUUGGCCCCUAAAUGAAAGGUCUGGGGGAUAUGAGGGACCACUGCCAACACUGCUCUCAAUGACCUCAUAUUGGAAAAUAUGCCAAUUCCCACGGUUUAUUCUCUAGCCAGCAAUGGGCUUUAUUGUUUAUGUCCAGGGCCAAACAGAAUGAGCGCCUCAGAGUGUCAGAUAUUGGUAAAACCUCUGGUGGAAGCACAAUUUGGGGGAAAAUUGGUGUUACUCAACCUAGAGAAAAUGGUUCUCAUUCCCAGUCUCAUAAAGAAACUCUGUUGAGAGAAGUCGAGCAGGCAUGUGCAGCCUUUCGGCAUUUUCACACAAUGUUGUCAUCUCCAGAGUUCAUGCUUGAGAAGCACACAAUCAAAUCAUGCACACAAAAAGUGUUUUAAGUAACUUUAUGAUUUUGUGUUAGCCUGUAUUCACAGCUAUCCUGUGCUAAAUGCAGCCUGUCAGUCGUGAGUUAAAUAUACCUGGGAAGAAAUAGGCAAGAGAGGAGUCUAUGGGUAGGCACCCACACAAUAGAAGAGGACCUAGCUAGAGAUCAAGGAGUCCCAUGGUUGUCCUACUUAGAGUAAUUUUUCCAGCUUAAGUGCUUCCCCCCAUCUCAUUAGACAUACAGGAAGGUGGCUUGCAUAGGAUCAUGGAUGACACAUUAGUGUGUUCUACAAUGCUGUUGAAAAUUACUUCUCAGAACACUGCCCUGUCUAGAGCAAUGUAGAAGAGCAAAUGCUGAGAAGUCAGGGUAGAAAGGCAGGGCAAAUUAUGGAAACCCGGAAAUGUCCACCCAUAGAUAUUCGAAUGGUG
rnacentral:lncRNA from 1 species